rnacentral:sRNA from 1 species
UAGAGUCCGACCCUUUCAUUUUCUUACACUGUGCACACACUUCUUUUUUACACACACUUUUAACACCUUAGUAUAAGAAUGUAAUAGUCUCUUAAUUGAGCAUAAAUAAAAACAAAACUUUCAGCAACGGAUCUCUUGGCUCUCGCAUCGAUGAAGAACGCAGCGAAUUGCGAUAAGUAAUGUGAAUUGCAGAAUUCAGUGAAUCAUCGAAUCUUUGAACGCACCUUGCACUCUUUGGUAUUCCGAAGAGUAUGUCUGUUUGAGUGUCAUGAAACUCUCAACCCCCCUAUUUUGUAAUGAGAUGGGUGUGGGCUUGGAUUAUGGUUGUCUGUCGGCGUAAUUGCCGGCUCAACUGAAAUACACGAGCAACCCUAUUGAAAUAAACGGUUUGACUUGGCGUAAUAAUUAUUUCGCUAAGGACGCUUUCUUCAAAUAUAAGAGGUGCUUCUAAUUCGCUUCUAAUAGCAUUAAGCUU